GGGAAACGGGAGAGCGGCAGCGCCCGCCGAAACAACCGCA
rfam:Beet western yellows virus strain TSA, complete genome.